rnacentral:rRNA from 1 species
UACGUAGGGGGCAAGCGUUGUCCGGAUUUAUUGGGCGUAAAGAGCGUGUAGGCGGCCAGGUAGGUCCGUUGUGAAAACUCGAGGCUUAACCUCGAGACGUCGAUGGAAACCAUCUGGCUAGAGUCCGGAAGAGGAGAGUGGAAUUCCUGGUGUAGCGGUGAAAUGCGCAGAUAUCAGGAAGAACACCGGUGGCGAAGGCGGAUCUCUGGGCCUUACCUGACGCUCAGGCGCGAAAGCUAGGGGAGCGAACUGG